GGGUAAGUUAAAACAAAAUAUAAAUAAAAUAAAACUAAAAAUAAACAGUACUGCCAGUGCAACCAUAUAGAUUACAUUUUUACAAUGAAAAACGUCUUCAAAGCAUAAACAAACGGGAAUCGUCUAGCUACGGAUGUUAUUUACUGCUGUUAAGGAGAUAUUUCCAAGCAGGAGGAAGUUCUUGUGCUGGGUGGUCGUUAAGGAGAGAUUCUUGACUCUGCCUUGCGUAAAUCUCGAUGGCUUCCGCUGUAGCGGCAUGUUUUUCUUUCGGAAGUGUUUUUAUUAUCCGCACUUCCGGCCAUCUUACUUCUACAUUGUCUUCAAAUGCAUUUCUCGUUAAGGAUGUACAUAGUCUACCUUUAGCUAUGUCUUUUUUGUG
rnacentral:lncRNA from 1 species